rnacentral:pre_miRNA from 1 species
UGUUAAAAAAAUUACUCAUUUCUACUAUUAAAAACUAGCGUAACUGACAGAACACGUGGCGUGCCAAGUGUAUUUCAUGUUAACGUACGCGGAUAAAAUUUUAACACUAGAAAUGAAUGGGACUUUUAUCA